UGCCACCCCAGUUCCCUCAUCUUUACACCAGAGCUCAAGGGGAGAGUGCCCACUAGAUAGAUCCCUUAUUAAGUUGGGGCAUCUACUAGGAAAAACCAACUAUUUCAUGGGAGCAGUUAUUGGAGUGGAUAAAUCUACUCUCAGAGAGGUCUCACCAGCUGGGAAGAGGACCCUCUGGGCCUGCCUAGAUUUAGCCAUUGCUCUCUCCUGCCAUCAGCCUGUGCUGCUGCCCUUUGGAGAGUCUGUUCUUCGUGCUUUGCUUCUCCUGAUACAAAACCUUUCCAUCUGUGGAAUUGGUGAUUGAUAGCCCCCAAACACAUAAACACUCUCCACCUGGACAGAAGGCUCCAGGGACCUCGCUCUCAGAGGUGUGGGAUCAAGGUAAGAAGAGAGAAAAAUCCGAAAACCAACUUCUCACCAGAAGUGAGUUCCAGGAUAUGCUGGAGGAGCUGCAGAAGAAGCUGGUGGUGACAGCUGAAGGUUCGGUUGGGUCACAGUUAAAGUUGCUGGUAGGCAUCCAUCAUGGGAUGUGAGAUUUUUUCCAGCAGGGUGAACUCAACAAUGUCCAAGUCCAAUGGUUUGCAAAAUCCUGUGGGUGAAUAGGAGGUGAGGCGAAGAAGAGGUCACCUUAGAGGACAGAGAUGUGACUGCUUGAUUACCUCAUGGAUAGAAGCAACCAGAGGGAAGCAAGCAAGAGGCAAGAGUUGCUUUGUGGUGCAUGGGGUAGAGAGCUGCACACCUCGGAGCUGAUUCCCCCCCGGAAAUACUCAUAACCUUCAUUCAGGGCAGACAGAAAAGCCUGGUUUCUGCUAGUGAUUGUGUCUCUAUUCUAGAAAAUUCUUUGUGCCCAUGACUUGGAGGGCCAACUAUCUCUUCCCCUCUCCCUUCCUUUAUCCCCUCACCCUUGCUUUAAAGAUGGCUUCCAUUCGUUUGCUAACUACACUAAGCAAUUGCAUGAAAUGUUCUGGCAAGCUUUAAGAAGAUAAAUUUGUCCAGUGCAAUUUAAACUAUGAGGGACAGAUACUUCAUCUCCAACACCUCCAGCUCUUUUCCUUGGGCUGGAACUGUGCCCCUAAAGACUGUGGGACAGUGGGAAGGCUGCAUAGCAUUCUCAGCAGCUCCUUGCAUGGGUGAGGGACAAGGGCGUCCAGACAGAGGCACAGAAGCAACAGGCUUGUCCUUCACUUAAGUCUCCAAGUAUCUGAGAACAAAGACCAAAUUACAGAUGCCUCAAAACGUCUGGAGUUAUCAGGCUGCCGUCAUUGUGACUGGCAGGGCCAUAGUUAACUGCUGCUUGCCUGGGUUCUGAGAACCUGCCUGCUGGACUUUCAUUUCCACUCUCCCUGGGUUUGAGGAGCUAACCAUCCUGUGGAAUCCCACUCAUCUUUUAAGAAUUUAUCUUCAACGUACCAAACUACAGAGUCGUCUUCAAACCUACUCACCGGAGCUAAGGGACCACUCCUGUGACUCCCAGGUCUUUGCCUGUAGAGCUUUGUCGUGAUGCUCAGGACACUGACUCGUUGGGGAGUUCUAGCUCUGUCUCAGGUAUCACUGUGCUAGCCUAGACCAUGCCUGUGCCUAGGAAUGUCCCCACACAUGUGAGUGAUGUACAUGAUAGUAAACAUGUGCUCACCCAUGGUUUUCCAAGGCCCUUCUACCUCUGUCCUUCUCUCCGGUCUGCUCUGCCCUUCCCGACACCUCUCCUUUCCCGGGGGGCAGACAUAUGGCCUGGGAUGGGGGAGCUGAUGACCCAUUUCAACCUUAUCCAGGCAUCCUCCAGCUCCUGCUGCCUCAUGGGCCCAUCACAGCUUCCUGAACAAAUCCCUCCUUCCAUCAAGAGGAUCUUUGUGAACUCAACAGAUGCCACUGGGCCUAGAAGUCAAAUAAAUAUGAUUAUUCAAACAACA